AUCUGUUUUUCACCCUGGACCUGGAGCCAGUAACCCUCAAACCAACCCAAGGCGUGUACCCAGAGCCUGAAGGCGGAGUCAGGACCUCUGCUGCAAAUGUUUCUCCUUCACCGAAGCUAAUGAAAAUUAGAAGGUGAAAAAAAUGUACUCGGGAUGAAAUGUUCUCUGAGCUCCCGCUGUCCUCCCACACUGACAGAGCACAGCAGAAUGCAUGGAGGCAGAUAAUGUCAGAGUGCAGGAAAGCACAAUAUGAACGCGAGGAAAGGUGGUGGGCGGAAGAGAGUAAGUGGCGAGCUGAAGAUGAUAGGUGGCGUCAGCUUGCUGACAGAAGGCAAGAGUCGAUGCUCAGGCUGCUGGAAGAUCACUCAUAUGCUCCAGCGUAUGGUUGAGCUGCAGGAAAGGCAGCAGGAGCACAGACCACCACUACAGCCCUGUGUAACCAACAGCUCUCCUCCCCAAGUUCCAUAGCCUCUUCACCCAGAUGCCCAAGAAUGCGGUGUGGGGGGUCUCUGGCCACCCAGCCACUCCACCCCAGAAGAUUGCCCAAGCAACAGAAGGCUGGCCUUCAAUAAGUUUUAAAGUGCAGUGUGGCCUUGUCCUUCCCUCCACCCCCACCCCUCUCGGGCUACCUUGGCAGUUAUCCCCCUAGUUGUGUGAUGAAUUAAUAAAGAAUGCAUGAAUGUGAA